rnacentral:lncRNA from 1 species
AUGACAUCUACCUCCCUCAAGUUAUUGUGUCAUCUGGCACAGCUCUUAGGGAUUAAUUCUAGAUCCUUCACAGAGACUAUCAGCAGAAACUAAAAGAGCUAACAAAUUAAAAAAUGCACACCAUUAUGACAUCAAAAAUGAACCCAAUAAAGAAGGAAAACUCUAGGAGAUGCUGAGUCCAGGCAGCUCGGUCUGGGAACUUAGGUUUCACAGCAACAGCUUGAGUUGGGGGAGAGGGUUUCUCCCAUUCUCCAUGGAGAAGGCUGCUCGCUUUGGCCCACACACGGCUCUGGAGGACCUGGUAGUGACAGUAGACACAUGCAGCCAUGACUGGGCAGAGACCAGUCUGUGCCUGCAGUGCUGGCAAUAAAUGACUUGGCGGCAGCAAUGACAGAAGAUGGCAGCUUCAGCACAGGCAGGUCAAGACGCAGAGCUGCUGGGAAGACAGUGUAAUCCAGGGAGCCCCAGCAAGACAGAAGAAAAUGACACACACACCGGGGCAGCUGAGGGAGUGUGUCCACAGCCUGGGGCGCACGCCCAGAGGCUUCACUGCUGUUUUCUCAAGGUGAUGGAAAUAAGUGGUGACAAGACAGAAACGGUGCCCAUUCUCACAAAACUCACAUCCUAGUGGGGAACCAAGUAAACAAAUGAGAUAAUUUCAGUUGCACGUGUGAAAUUAUCACCUACAAAGUUACCAGUGCCCGGGUUGGGAGCCAAUUCCCCACGGGUCUCUCAAAUUUCUUCAUGCCUUCUGAACAAGGGCGUUAACAGUUUUUUCUGGACUACGUUCAACAGAAGUCUGCAUAGGGCCUCAAUUCUGGCUAACAGUUGGGUUCCUUGUUACCUCUCAACUUCACAUCUUCUAGAGACGAAAUCUUCAAUAUGGUUCCACACCCACACGUCCGAUGCCUGAACUGGUCCUCUGGAACAUCUGGGACGAGCCAUGCAUUCUGUCUCCAUGUGGCCUCUUGACAUGCCUAGCUUGAGCGUCUUCACAGCAUGGGCUUCUUCGUGGCGUAGUAGUCUCAGGGAAUGUUAUGGGGAAAAGAAUGAAGCUCCCAACUCUUUUAGACAUCGGAAUUGACAUGAAGUUCAUCCAGCACUUGCUAUGCUAGUCACGUAUAUAAAGGGGAGAGCAAAUCAACAUCUCUUCCCUUCUGCAGCCUUACCUUGUGGAAUGAGCAAGAGCCAUGGAUUUCUAAAAUGAUUUCAAAAAUCUUACAUUGUGUUAUGAACCAUAUGCCAGGGUUUAUUUCCUUAAAGUGUUAAAAGCC